rnacentral:misc_RNA from 1 species
ACCUACUGUUUAAUUUUGAGGGUUCGUUUUUACGAAUACUCAAAAUUAGCACUUUAAGCAACGGAAUUUAUUCGUUGGCGCUGUGCUUUAGCACUUUGAAAACUGCAUAUAUAUUUAGUGAUAUGACAUCUAAUUUGUAAUAUAUAAAGCCGAUAACUUUUUAAAAUUAUCGAAGUUGAUAGCUUCUAAUCUAUCAAACCUUUUUAACUGGUCAA